rnacentral:sRNA from 1 species
GAUAAAGCGUGCCUGAAUCAGUUUUUAAAGAAAGUGCUGUGUACCCUGGCCUACUAUCAGACUUCACUGGACAGUAUGAGGGCUACUCUCAUAGAACUAAGUGAGAACCCAGCCAAUCAUGACCUGCUGUUGUCUGUGCUAUGGGAAGGUGUGGUUCAUACGUCUUCGCAAGUCAGGACAGCUGCGGCAUCACUGUUUGAGCUGAUGAUCAAAGGGGUGAGUGACUCUCUUGUGUCAUCAAGAGUUGUCCCAGCUUUAGUCACGCUCUCCAAUGAUCAUGAACUGUAAGUGAAUUCUUUCUUCUAUUGUGCUGAUAAUGUUUAUGGCAGAUAAAAGUGUAUAUGUUUUGAACACACCUUAAGAUCCUUGUCUCGAUCAAGAAAACGUGUUCCUAAAAUUCCUGGAGAAAGAAAAGUUACAUAGAUGAGCUGUAUAAAUAUCAUAAAAAUUAUGAGAUCAACUCAAAA